UUUUAAUACUGACGGUAAUUAAUUUUUAAAAAACAAAUUUUUCUUUCAAAAUUUUCAUCGUCUCUUGCAGCUUUAGCUUUAACCCUAAUUUUGAAUAUUUUCGCUUCUCCACAAAUUACCUUCACUAAAUUCUAAUAUUUUCCCCCAUGCUCUCUCUCAACGUUUACCAUUCAUGUCACAAUACUCUGCUAUGUGAAAUAAGUGGGUUAGGUUACAAGUUAAAAGCUUUCGCAGAGAAUAACAAGAUGCAUAUGCAAAGCUCGACAAUAUAUUCAUCAAAGCCUGCGGGGUAAAAGCCCUACACCGCACCUCAUCCAUCGAUUCCGAUUCCAAGUAAAUGGUUGCUACUGUCCCGGUCCCAAAUCUCUGAUUCAAAGUAAAAGAUCAAAUCUAGUCGAGGUUGCGCCAGUUCUCUCCAAAUCUCAUAUUUAAGUUUGCAGGAAAAGCUAUAUAACCUGCAAUUUGGAUCGUUGCUCUAUCAUUUUUCGUGAAGUUGCUGGGUUUCUCUUUACAGAAGUGGCUAACUGCUGGAGGUCUAGGGACUCUUGCUGGAUCUUGAAUCUUAACAGUUUGAUGCAUUGAUUGUUGCACUUCUAUCUUUGGAGGAAGGUGAAAAGCUCAACUUAGAAAGAUUGUUGGACUCCAAGUAAUAUAGUCUCCACUAGUUUAUUGUUAUUCGUUUUAGGAUCUAAUUUCUUAUUAAUUGGAUAGGAGAAUGGUCUUGAAUUAAUUAUAACAUGUCUUUUCUUGGAAUUA